rnacentral:rRNA from 1 species
GCGGUAAUACCAGCUCUUCGAGUGGUGGGGACGAUUAUUGGGCUUAAAGCGUUCGUAGCCGGCUUAACAAGUCUUCCGUUAAAUCCAACGAUCUAAUCGUUGGGCCGCGGGAGAUACUGUUGGGCUAGGAGGCGGGAGAAGCCGACGGUAUUCUCGGGGUAGGGGUGAAAUCCUGUAAUCCCGG